AUUGAACGCUGGCGGCAGGCCUAACACAUGCAAGUCGAACGAGUGGCGGACGGGUGAGUAAUGUCUGGGAAACUGCCUGAUGGAGGGGGAUAACUACUGGAAACGGUAGCUAAUACCGCAUACCAUCGGAUGUGCCCAUAUGGGAUUAGCUAGUUGGUGGGGUAACGGCUCACCUAGGCGACGAUCCCUAGCUGGUCUGAGAGGAUGACCAGCCACACUGGAACUGAGACACGGGCCAGACUCCUACGGGAGGCAGCAGUGGGGAAUAUUGGACAAUGGGAGAAAGCCUGACGGAGCAAAGCCGCGUGAGUGAUGAAGGUCUUCGGGUCGUAAAGCUCUGUUAGCAGGGAAGCGGUAGCUGAAGAAAAAGCCACGGCUAACUACGUGCCAGCAGCCGCGGUAAUAC
rnacentral:rRNA from 1 species